AUUGAACGCUGGCGGCAGGCUUAACACAUGCAAGUCGAGCGAGCGGCGGACGGGUGAGUAAUGUCUGGGAAACUGCCUGAUGGAGGGGGAUAACUACUGGAAACGGUAGCUAAUACCGCAUACCCUCAGAUGUGCCCAGCUGGGAUUAGCUAGUAGGGGGGGUAAUGGCUAACCUAGGCGACGAUCCCUAGCUGGUCUGAGGGGAUGACCGUCCAAACUGGAACGGGGAAACGGUCCAGACUCCUACGGGAGGCAGCAUUGGGGAAUAUUGCACAAGGGGGGCAGGCCGAAGGCAGCCAUGCCGCGUGUGGGAAGAUGGCCUUCGGGUUGUAAAGCACUUUCAGCGGGGAGGCGUUACUCGCAGAAGAAGCACCGGCUAACUCCGUGCCAGCAGCCGCGGUAAUUC
rnacentral:rRNA from 1 species